GCUCCCUUUCACGAUAGAAUAUAAACACACACAGACACACACAGACACACACAAAACACAGAGGCAGCCUAACUUGACAUAAACAGAAACGUGCUCGUUGAAGUGUGACGUCGGUUUGACGACUCCCAUUAACUUGGACACACAGGUCUGGCUGCUGCCAUGAUUUAGCUCACCAGAGUCACAGUGCUGUGCGGAGGGCCCUGACCGGGGAGCCAGGGUGAGUGAUGACCUCACCGUGGAGGGAGGGAUAGAGGGAGGGAUAGUGCUGAAGGCACCAUGAAUCACCGUGUUGGUUUAACCGGAAAAAAGCAGAGAGGCAUCUCCUGAGAAGAUCGCGCAAACAGGACGACCCAGUACGACGAGAGUGACAGGCGAGAGUGACAAGUGUGAAUGUACGAGUGUUUGCGUACGGUGUACCUCUGGUUAUCUGUCGGUCGUAGCGUGCGAUCGUGCCUGCAAGCGACCUCCCACGCAAAGUUCCUGGAACACCGACACCUUUAGGGGUGGAUGAUGACAACAAAGUACAGGCUGGAUUUGGUUGGGGAAACGAGUUUCCUGUUGCCUAGGGUACACGGAUCAGUCGUCUUGUUCCAGAAAAUGCAAGACAGUGGUCCAACAUGAGAAAUCGAACAACACAUCUGCAGUGCAUCUCCUCUAACUGUCUGAAGGCUGAUACGUCCUCAUUGCAAUAGAGCGGCUUCCAUUGAUUUGCCGAUAGACGCCCCAUUGAUUUUCUAUCUUGGAGCAAGGUGUGCACAUGUGUGCUCAACUUGGUCGCGAUGGGAGGGAGAGGCUGAGGAGGUGGAGGCAGAGACUGAAUUGAAGUUGGUUCUCCUGAUAUUAAAGACAAACAACAACCAUUUUCACCUGUGUCAGCGACCUCUGCCAAGUCACCUAUCAGUCAAAACCUCAGGUGAGGAGAACAGCACAAGUGGGUAAAUCAGCUGACAUCCCCAGAAAGGUGCGGAGGUUCAGAACGCUGCAGACAGCAAGUCUUGAAGCAGGGCACAGAAUGGGCUAGAGAGCCCCUGUCAAGUUGAAGGAUCUUUCUAUACAGCACAUUUCUAUCUCAGAUCUGCCGAUGGGCCUGCAUCAUCUGGAUCUGCCGCAUUCAGACUCAUGCUGCCAUUAUCAUCGCCCGCUCGUCAAAUCAAACCGUCCUGCGGCCAUGUCAACGCCCUGUACACAAUAAAGAGGACUUCCUCAUACCCAAGUGCUGUGGCUAAACAUCAAGCUCACGCCGCUAAUUUCCUUCCGAACUAAGGUGCCAAUGGAAUGCACAGAACCAGAAGGUCGACACGUGAUAGGUGCCUCGACCUACUAAACACUUCCUGCUCAUUAUGAACAAUGACGUUGAGAUCCUUCCUGGCGUUCCGACCUGAGGUGUAUGGAAGUCCGUUUUACUUUGUUCAAUAUCUACUGAAAUUACCAUGGGAUGUACUUAUCCCAUCUUAUCAUUAUGGGGUAUUGUGCAUAGAUCUAUGGCAAAAAAAGAUUUAAUGAGUUAGAAAUAAGGUGGAGAAAGUGAUAGGGACUCAAUACUUCCCGAAGACACCGUACCAUGAGGUUCUCUGGUAUUCACAGACAUUCUAAUCUUUUGGUUCAUUACGGGGAUUAACAUAUAGGGUUUUGUUCACAUGUAAAAUGAUAGCUGCAUGAGCCAUAAUUAUGUAAUGGAUGCUUUAGACAUGCAUGUCUGCUUACUCUUCCGUUUUUCAAAGGCUUUAAUUAAAACUCAAAAUGAUUUUCAAGCUGUAUCACAAGCGAAACAUUUAUUCUAUAGUCUUGUCUAGGCUACUUAGUAACAGAAUCGUGCAAGACAGACCUACAGUGGCUCUACUGAGUGAGAGAAACCUAUGCUUGGUUUUAAAUCAAACAAACCGAAACGAGAAAAAUAGUUUGUUUUUAUGCUCCUAGAUACAAAGAUUACAUGAACCCAAAUGACAUGAGCCU